UGGGUCCUGCGUAAUGGACACCUACGAAUCGUGUCAGGGCAGGAAUGCAGCAGCACUAAGUAGGACCGUUCAUCUGACGCGGGGU
rnacentral:SRP_RNA from 1 species